rnacentral:ncRNA from 2 species
CAAUCGAUCAACGGGAGCUCGGCAAACCGGGCUGAGAGGGCGAAGGAGUCGCCGACCGUCAACCUGAUCUGGAUAAUGCCAGCGUAGGAAUUUUUAUUGCACACAUU